AUGGCUCACCUGGUGGGCAUGAUGGCGCUUCUCCUCCUCCUCGCAGCGUCGGCAGAGACAGCCCAGGCGCGCGCCGCCAGGGGGCCGCCGGCGGGGAAGUACGCCGUGAUCUUGGACGCCGGCAGCACCGGGACACGUAUGCACGUCUUCCGGUUUGACAAGCAGAUGGAUCUCGUCAAGAUCGGCGAUGACAUCGAGGUCUUUGCCAAGGUGAAUCCUGGUCUGAGUUCGUACGCUGGACGGCCCAAGGAGGCUACCAAGUCCAUACAACCACUGCUUGAAAAGGCAAACAGCGUCGUGCCUCAGAUGCUUAUGAAGACUACUCCCGUUAAACUUGGGGCGACGGCCGGACUCAGGCUCAUCGGAGAUAAGCAAGCAAAGCAGAUACUUGACGCGGUCAGGGGCGCUGUCCACACUAACACCAAGUUUCAGUACAACCCCAAGUGGAUCAAUGUUCUCGAGGGAUCUCAGGAAGGAUCCUACCUAUGGGUUGCUCUGAAUUACCUGCUGGAUAAGUUGGGAGGAGACUACUCGAAAACGGUAGGUGUGAUUGAUCUUGGUGGUGGGUCUGUGCAAAUGGCAUAUGCCAUUUCUCCAGCCGCUGCUGCUGCCGCACCACGAGUGCCUCACGGCAAGGAUCCUUAUGUUACAAAAGAGUAUCUCAAGGGAAGAGAUUACAACGUUUAUGUUCACAGCUACUUACGCUACGGCGCCUUAGCUUCUCGUGUAGAGAUCUUCAAGGCUAAGGAAGGACCAUUUAGCUACUGCAUGCUUCGUGGCUUCAGUGGAAAAUACAGCUACAAUGGUGAGGAGUACAAUGCUACCGCGUCAACGGGAGGUGCACAAUACGGGAAGUGCAGACGUGAUGUAGUGAGGGCACUCAAACUUGACUCGCCCUGCCCAGCCAAGAAGUGCACCUUCGACGGCGUGUGGAACGGCGGGGGCGGCCCCGGCCAGGCCAACCUCUACGCCGCGUCUAGCUUCUACUACAUGGCCUCGCAGGUUGGCCUCAUCGACAGCGAUGCUCCAAGCGGGACAUCCACCCCAGCGGCUUUCAGAGCCGUUGCCCAGAAGUUAUGUAGAAUGAGCUUGAAAGAAGUGAAGGUUAAGUACCCCAAGGUCCGUGACGUACCCUACGUUUGCAUGGACCUCGUCUAUCAAUACUCCUUGCUCGUCGAUGGGUUCGGUUUGGAGCCCACCAAGAAUAUUACACUCGUGGAGAAGGUGAAGCAUGGGGAGUACUUCAUUGAAGCGGCGUGGCCUCUCGGAGAAGCUAUUGAGGCCGUGGCACCCAAAAAAGGCACUUGA
rnacentral:rRNA from 1 species